AGAGCGAACGCUGGCGGCAGGCCUAACACAUGCAAGUCGAGCGCCCCGCAAGGGGAGCGGCAGACGGGAGAGUAACACGUGGGAACGUACCCUUCAGUUCGGAACAACCCAGGGAAACUUGGGCUAAUACCGAAUACGUCCGUAAGGAGAAAGAUUUAUCGCUGAAGGAUCGGCCCGCGUCUGAUUAGCUAGUUGGUGAGGUAACGGCUCACCAAGGCUACGAUCAGUAGCUGGUCUGAGAGGAUGAUCAGCCUCACUGGGACUGAGACACGGCCCAGACUCCUACGGGAGGCAGCAGUGGGGAAUAUUGGACAAUGGGCGCAAGCCUGAUCCAGCCAUGCCGCGUGGAUGAUGAAGGCCUUAGGGUUGUAAAGCUCUUUUACCCGGUAAGAUAAUGACGGUACCGGGAGAAUAAGCCCCGGCUAACUUCGUGCCAGCAGCCGC
rnacentral:rRNA from 1 species